rnacentral:lncRNA from 1 species
GUUGGCCUAGGGACACCCGCCGCCAUAACUGCGCUAAGAUCCGUUGGCUAUUUAAACCCCCUACUCUUCCUUCGGGGCUUCAUCCUGCCGAGAGGACGAUACCUUUCUUUCGUCUGAGAGCCUAGCUACUCAGCCACUUCCUCCGCAUCGGUCCUUGCCAUCUUCAGCCCCUCGAUUCUUCUCUAAGGGGUUCCCACGUCAUGUCCUCCACCCCGGAGGCCAUCCUCGAAGGGAUGUCUAGG